AGGAAGAAGGAAGAACAGGACAUAUUUUCUGUAAGAACAAAAAAUGCCACAUGGUGCUUACCCUACCUGGCUGAUUUCUCUGUUAGGAAUAUAAUCUUCACAAGGCAGAGAGUAUUUUUCUUAUCAGAGUGUUUCAAUUGAAUAUUGCAACUGAAGACAUUCACUCUGCGUUGAUCACCUAUGGAGUGAUCAAAUUUCAACCCUUUGAAGUUUCCUAAAUGAAAGAGGCACUCUGAAUUCAAAGGCUGUUUGAAUGAACUGACUGCUUCAGCACUGUCUUGUAGAUAUAGUCCAUUCAAAUAAAAGACAAAUAUCUGACUGAAUUUUGUUAGCACGUUAAGACAUGUAUUAUAAAAAGGUUUAAGAAGAAAAUAAUGGCCACAAUUCUUCAGAAAACAUGUGAACUAAUGUGACAAAACACUGUGGUGUUGCAAACUCAAGUGCUGCUCUGGCCAAGUCACCUCGCUGAAAUCUCCACUUCCACUUGUGCAACCUACCAAGCCACUCUCUACACAGCUGCCAGAGUGAUUACAAAAACAACGCGGGAUUAUGCUACCCCUGCUUAUCUAAAAUUUGUCAAAAUGCCCGUUACACUUUGAAUAAAAUACAGAUUCCUCUCA
rnacentral:lncRNA from 1 species